UACGUAGGGGGCAAGCGUUGUCCGGAUUCAUUGGGCGUAAAGAGCGUGUAGGCGGCCAGGUAGGUCGGUUGUGAAAACUGGAGGCUCAACCUUCAGAGGUCGACCGAAACCAUCUGGCUAGAGUCCGGGAGAGGAGAGUGGAAUUCCUGGUGUAGCGGUGAAAUGCGCAGAUAUCAGGAAGAACACCCGUGGCGAAAGCGGCUCUCUGGAACGGUACUGACGCUGAGACGCGAAAGCGUGGGAGCGAAGCAGG
rnacentral:rRNA from 1 species